AUAUGUAGGUCCCAAGCGUUGCGCGAUCUCACUGGGCGUAAAGCGUCCCCAGCCGGUCCGGUAAGCGGAUUGUCAAAACCCGCGGCUCAACCGCGGUAGGGCAACCCGAACUGCCGGACUUGAGGCAAGCCCAGGCAGGCGGAAUUCCCGGUGUAGCGGUGAAAUGCGUAGAUAUCGGGGGGAACACCAAAGGGGAAGCCAGCCUGCUGGGGCUGCCCUGACGGUCACGGACGAAAGCUGGGGGAGCAGACCGGAUUAGAAACCCUAGUAGUCC
rnacentral:rRNA from 1 species